UUUUUCUCUUCCCUCCCCAAGCCCCCCACCCUGCUUCCUGACAUUGCACAUGCCCGAAAGAACAAGGCUUCAGAUAAAAGAAUGAGAACACUUGAAUGAAAAAGGAAGACUUGGUCCAAAGCCCCUGGUGAAUAUGAAAGAAGUGUUGGCCUGGGCUAUCUCCCACAUAAUUCACAGCUGCUAUCUUGUCUUCACAAGUGAAACAUCCCUUACCAAUAGUGACCUACCUUGUGAGGACUGCUUGUGAUAGGAUAGUUCCACCCCCAGGACGUAAGUUUUCUCUUUCCAAUUAACAUGCCUAAUCCCAUGCUAUCUUUAAGAGCUUGAAAAUCCUUCCUGGCCUGAGCUAGGCUUUUAUUCUAGGGGACUGUAUGAGAACAUCCCCACCAUCUGUGUUCCCUGUUUUCAAACUCCCUGCUGUUUGAGUAUAUUCAGAUGCUCACUGCCAGUAAUGGUUUGUUAGUAGCUCCAAACCAUUAGAGAAGAGCUCAGGAGACUGAAUUUGAAAGAUGCCCACAGGGUGAUUUGAGAUUUGGAACAAGGUUAUCACAGUAAGUUGGGAUUGGGGGAGUUGACACAACCAGGGUCUGCUUGGGUGGGCAGCUGUUUCAAAAACCCUUGGUGAACUCUUAAAGCCCUGAAGAGCUUAAAAAAAGCUCUGAAGAGAUCUGAGAGUCACACUUAAAGCAGCCUUUCUAACAUCGAAGAAAAGCCAACUUAGCCUUUUUAUACAAUUAACUAGAUUUGGGUCUUAAAUUCUUCUACUUUGACAUACAGUCCUAAGUAGUUGUUUAACAUGGCCUUGUUACCUUUGCCCCUUUUGUGCUGUUUUCUGAAAAGCAGAUGCAGAAACUGAUUCCCUUUCUUCCUCUCUGGAACGGGAUAUAAAGAACUAUUGUGCUUCCCUUUACUUGUGGCCUUCCUGGCCAGGCUUACUGUACGCUGAACAAAGCUAGGGAGCAGUGCUUCUGAGCCAGCUGUUGGGGGUCCACAGCCAGAAGGAACGGGAGACCACAGGAGCCAUUCAAAAGAUAAUUACAUGUCAGAAGAGAGUCCAGCCAUGGGGUUCUGUUAAAGUAGACACCUUCAGGUUGGGAGACAUAAGCUUUUUGUCUGCUUGCUGGGCUGAACCCUCACCAUAUCCACUGAGCACAAAAUGGGGAGCAGCUGUACCAAAGGAGGGACGAACAUCUUUCACCCAAGUUGCAGGUCUGCUAGUUGUCGGGAAAUGUUGAAGGGAGGCUAAGGUAUCUUGUCUUACAGUGUCUCAGGAAACAGGGUUGGUUCUCAGCUGGCAGUGAAGGGGGCCUGGUGUGGUAUUAGAAGUUGAACUUGAGGUUGCAAUCUCAAGUCACCCUCUGGCCUCAUAGGAAUGCACCAGGGUGAUUUGGGAGGAUCUGAGUUUAUGAAGUCAGACUGAAAAGAAAAAAAAAAAGCUGAUCUGAUUUAAACAGAGUUGCCAAAGGCUUCCCCGCCAAUACACAAAGACUGCAUUGUUCAUGUACCCUGUGUACUCUAAGUGAGACACCAAAUCAGAUGCAGCAACCUGGUCUUGCAUUUGCAUAAGCCCUGGUUAGAAUGUAGGUUUUUUUUUUUUUUUUUUUAAAAAAAAAAAACAACUAGGCCAGUAGCCAGAACAGAAUUAUUUAAAAUGGGACAGAUGUCCAGAGAAUGGCUAGUGUCCUCUAGCACUCUCUCAGAAAGAAGCAAAAGCAGCAAGUCUGCGGUUACAACUUCCAGUGGCCUACUUUAUUUAUUUAUUUUUUUUUUGAGACGGAGUCUCGCUCUGUCGCCCAGGCUGGAGUGCAUGGCCGGAUCUCAGCUCACUGCAAGCUCCGCCUCCCGGGUUCACGCCAUUCUCCUGCCUCAGCCUCCCGAGUAGUUGGGACUACAGGCGCCCGCCACCGCGCCCGGCUAGUUUUUUGUAUUUUUUAGUAGAGACGGGGUUUCACCGUGUUAGCCAGGAUGGUCUCGAUCUCCUGACCUCGUGAUCCGCCCGUCUCGGCCUCCCAAAGUGCUGGGAUUACAGGCUUGAGCCACCGCGCCCGGCCAAAAGGUGGGAGAUGAAAGGGGAUGAGGUAUGAAAUCCUGUUGAGUACAACGUACACUACUUACGUGCACAGUACACUCUCUGGGUGGGGGGCACACUAAAAGUCCAGACCUCACCGCUACACAAUAUAUCCAUGUAACACAGCUGCACUUGUACCCCCUAAAUGUAUACAAAUAAUGUAAAAAUAAAGUGGAUAUGGUGGCUCUCGUGUCCACCAACAGUGUGUA
rnacentral:lncRNA from 1 species